rnacentral:rRNA from 1 species
AGCGUAGACGGCAAGGCAAGUCUGAUGUGAAAACCCAGGGCUUAACCCUGGGACUGCAUUGGAAACUGUCUGGCUCGAGUGCCGGAGAGGUAAGCGGAAUUCCUAGUGUAGCGGUGAAAUGCGUAGAUAUUAGGAGGAACACCAGUGGCGAAGGCGGCUUACUGGACGGUAACUGACGUUGAGGCUCGAAAGCGUGGGGAGCAAACA